CAAAAACAUAGCCCUAGAAAUAAUCUAAGGUGUGACCUGCCCAGUGGUUUUUAAAUAAAGAGUUUAGAAUGCUUAAAAUAAAACUAAAAGGACGCGGUAACCUUGACCGUGAUAAUGUAGCGUAAUCACUCGCCAUUUAAUUGAUGGAUAGUAUGAAUGGUUAAACGAAUAUUCCCCUGUCUUAGAAAGAAUUAUGUAAAAUUGAAUUAGUAGUUAAGAUGCUACUUAGAAUUGUAAGACGAAAAGACCCUAUAGAGCUUAACUAUAAUCUUUACAGUUUACAAGAAAAUAAGUUCGAAAUUUGUAAAGUUUGGUAGUUUAGUUGGGGCGACUGUUUUCUAGAUUUAACGAAAAUAAGCAAUGUCAAUAUUAGAUUUAUUGUAUAAAAUAAUGUUUUAACAAUUAUUAAUGUAGGCUAUAAUGACCCGUUGGCAUUAAAAAACUAAAGUUAACGAUCAAUUGAUAAAAGCUACCUUAGGGAUAACAGGAUAAUUUCAUCUUAGAGUCCUAAUCGAAGAUGAAGUUUGUCACCUCGAUG
rnacentral:rRNA from 1 species